GUUUGAAACAUUUCAUGAGCAAAAUGGCAAAACUUGUCCAAGACUAAAGUUAAAAAAUCUAUGAAAAUGAUCUUCAUCCUGCUAGUGGCUGCAGGACCUUCAGCAGUAGAGGAAAUGGAGGAAAGGUGUAAAGAAGGUCUUUGUACAGGGGAGAAGAAGAGCAUCACCAGAGAGUGCUAUCCCAUCUCUGCCCUGGAGCAGUAGCAUAGACAUUUCUUGUUCUGGUAAAUGGCAAACAGUUCAUAACGAUGCUGAAGUUGGUAUUGCGCUGAGUACAGCCUAUGCUGGGAUUAGGGACUAAAACGUCUCUUUUGCCCGAGUGUAUAGAUUCCCAGCAACCUGAGGGUAGCACUGGAAUCCUUUAGGGUAUGAAGGGAGGCAUCAGUCUUUUCAGCGAAGAGCUUUGCGCCCUCAGAAAGAAGAUGUUCCACCAUGGACUCCAUCUCUUUCAGGGAAUCCUGACAAGUGGAGCCAUGAUGCCCAUCACAUCACCACCACCAUGGAGAUGGA